UAGUCCACGCCGUAAACGAUGAGUGCUAGAUGCCGGGUGUCAAAGCUCGGUAUCGCCGUUAACACAUUAAGCACUCCGCCUGGGGAGUACGUACGCAAGUAUGAAACUCAAAGGAAUUGACGGGGACCCGCACAAGUAGCGGAGCAUGUGGUUUAAUUCGAGGCAACGCGAAGAACCUUACCAGGGCUUGACAUAUCUUUGAUCGGUUUAGAGAUAAACCCUCUUCUUCGGAAGCAGAGAUAC
rnacentral:rRNA from 1 species